rnacentral:rRNA from 1 species
CAGUCGAACGGAACUGUUUUGAAAGAUUUCUUCGGAAUGAAUUUGAUUUACUUUAGUGGCGGACGGGUGAGUAACGCGUGAGUAACCUGCCUUCAAGAGGGGGAUAACAUUCUGAAAAGAAUGCUAAUACCGCAUGACAUAUCGGAACCACAUGGUUCUGAUAUCAAAGAUUUUAUCGCUUGAAGAUGGACUCGCGUCCGAUUAGUUAGUUGGUGAGGUAACGGCUCACCAAGACCGCGAUCGGUAGCCGGACUGAGAGGUUGAACGGCCACAUUGGGACUGAGACACGGCCCAGACUCCUACGGGAGGCAGCAGUGGGGGAUAUUGCGCAAUGGGGGCAACCCUGACGCAGCAACGCCGCGUGAAGGAUGAAGGUUUUCGGAUUGUAAACUUCUUUUAUUAAGGACGAAAAUUGACGGUACUUAAUGAAUAAGCUCCGGCUAACUACGUGCCAGCAGCCGCGGUAAUACGUAGGGAGCAAGCGUUGUCCGGAUUUACUGGGUGUAAAGGGUGCGUAGGCGGCUUUGCAAGUCAGAUGUGAAAUCUAUGGGCUCAACCCAUAAACUGCAUUUGAAACUGUAGAGCUUGAGUGAAGUAGAGGCAGGCGGAAUUCCCCGUGUAGCGGUGAAAUGCGUAGAGAUGGGGAGGAACACCAGUGGCGAAGGCGGCCUGCUGGGCUUUAACUGACGCUG